UACAGGGGGUGCAAACGUUGCUCGGAAUCAUUGGGCGUAAAGCGCACGUAGGCGGUUCGUUAUGUCGGAUGUGAAAGCCCUUGGCUUAACCGAGGAAGUGCAUCCGAAACUGGCGAGCUAGAGUACUAAAGAGGAUCGCGGAAUUCCCGGUGUAGAGGUGAAAUUCGUAGAUAUCGGGAGGAACACCAGUGGCGAAGGCGGCGAUCUGGGUAGAUACUGACGCUGAGGUGCGAAAGCGUGGGGAGCAAACAGG
rnacentral:rRNA from 1 species